rnacentral:misc_RNA from 1 species
GUAGGUGAACCUGCGGAAGGAUCAUUAACACGUAUCCACGUAUCAACCAACUGUGAACUUGUUUUCAACACCUAUUUCACCCCUUUUUUGCUAGUUGACUUUUAUAUGUUGUCUCUUUCGUACUUCGCUGUAUGACUGAUUCACACGUUUAUUAUUUGAACGUUAAAAUUACAACUCUUAGCAAUGGAUAUCUUGGUUCUC